rnacentral:rRNA from 1 species
AGUGAACGCUGGCGGUAGGCCUAACACAUGCAAGUCGAACGGCAGCACAGUAAGAGCUUGCUCUUACGGGUGGCGAGUGGCGGACGGGUGAGGAAUACAUCGGAAUCUACUUUUUCGUGGGGGGUAACGUAGGGAAACUUACGCUAAUACCGCAUACGACCUACGGGUGAAAGCAGGGGAUCUUCGGACCUUGCGCGAUUGAAUGAGCCGAUGUCGGAUUAGCUAGUUGGCGGGGUAAAGGCCCACCAAGGCGACGAUCCGUAGCUGGUCUGAGAGGAUGAUCAGCCACACUGGAACUGAGACACGGUCCAGACUCCUACGGGAGGCAGCAGUGGGGAAUAUUGGACAAUGGGCGCAAGCCUGAUCCAGCCAUACCGCGUGGGUGAAGAAGGCCUGCGGGUUGUAAAGCCCUUUUGUUGGGAAAGAAAAGCAGCAGGUUAAUACCCCGCUGUUCGGACGGUACCCAAAGAAUAAGCACCGGCUAACUUCGG